AGCUGAGCAGAAGGGGAAAUCUGAUACGAAUAUUGUGUCAGCUUCUAUCAGCAGGUCAGUGUCUUCUGCAUUUACAAUGUAUAGGGAAUGACACAACUUGUGGAUUCGGCUUUCAGGAUGGAAAGGAGAUCUUUCAUGGAUACUGCCUUAUACUAGUGCAAAUUGGAUCACUUGGGACUAGAAAUACUAGCGUAUCUGGAGGAAAAAAGUGGUGUAAUUCCUCUGUACCCCAACCCAGAAAAUUAAGCUCCACACGUCAGGAGGUCUUGAAAUAAGAUCUCGUCUGCAGACUGUCCUGCCACUUCUGAAGCCAGCAGAAAGCCAUGCUGCUGCACUGCAGGAAAAAUUCCAGUUCCAC
rnacentral:lncRNA from 1 species